rnacentral:rRNA from 1 species
CCAACGGGGGGCAGCAGUGGGGAAUAUUGGACAAUGGGGGCAACCCUGAUCCAGCCAUGCCGCGUGAAUGAUGAAGGCCUUCGGGUUGUAAAGUUCUUUUGGUGGGGACGAUGAUGACGGUACCCACAGAAUAAGCUCCGGCUAACUUCGUGCCAGCAGCCGCGGUAAUACGAAGGGAGCUAGCGUUGUUCGGAAUUACUGGGCGUAAAGGGCGCGUAGGCGGUUCGGCAAGUCAGAUGUGAAAGCCCUGGGCUCAACCCGGGAAUUGCGUUUGAGACUGCCGUGCUUGAAUUCGGGAGAGGUUGGUAGAAUUCCCAGUGUAGAGGUGAAAUUCGUAGAUAUUGGGAAGAAUACCCGUGGCGAAGGCGGCCAACUGGACCGACAUUGACGCUGAGGCGCGAAAGCGUGGGGAGCAAACA